rnacentral:rRNA from 1 species
UCCAGACUCCUACGGGAGGCAGCAGUGGGGAAUAUUGCACAAUGGGGGAAACCCUGAUGCAGCGACGCCGCGUGAGUGAAGAAGUAUUUCGGUAUGUAAAGCUCUAUCAGCAGGGAAGAUAAUGACGGUACCUGACUAAGAAGCCCCGGCUAACUACGUGCCAGCAGCCGCGGUAAUACGUAGGGGGCAAGCGUUAUCCGGAUUUACUGGGUGUAAAGGGUGCGCAGGUGGCAGGGCAAGUCAGAUGUGAAAGCCCGGGGCUCAACCCCGGUAUUGCAUUUGAAACUGUCCGGCUAGAGUGCAGGAGAGGUAAGCGGAAUUCCUAGUGUAGCGGUGAAAUGCGUAGAUAUUAGGAGGAACACCAGUGGCGAAGGCGGCUUACUGGACUGUAACUGACACUGAGGCACGAAAGCGUGGGGAGCAAACAGGAUUAGAUACCCCCGUACG